rnacentral:rRNA from 1 species
CUUUACGAUGGGGUGACACAGAAGGAUAAUCAGGCCCUCCUAUGGCUAUGGGGGUUGAUACACGUAAGCUGGAUCUGAUAGGCAAAUCCGUCGGGUCUUAACAGUGAGGUGUAAAACAGUAAGUCGUAUGACUGAAAGCUGAUGAGUUCACGCUGUCAAGAAAAACCUCUAAGGAGAGGGAUUGGGAACCGUACCACAAACCGACACAGGUAGACGAGGAGAAUAUCCAAAGGCGCUCGAGUGAAGGCUUGUUAAGGAACUCGGCAAAUUAGACCCGUAACUUCGGGAGAAGGGUCGCCACGUUAGGGUUAAUAGCCCGAGGUGGCCGCGGUGAAACGCGUACGGCGACUGUUUAACAAAAACACAGGUCUCUGCAAAGUCAAAAACGACGUAUAGGGGCUGACUCCUGCCCGGUGCUGGAAGGUUAAAAGGAGCGGUUAGGCGCAAGCCGAAGCUGUGAAUUGAAGCCCCAGUGAACGGCGGCCGUAACUAUAACGGUCCUAAGGUAGCGAAAUUCCUUGUCGGGUAAGUUCCGACCUGCACGAAUGGAGUAACGAUCGUACGACUGUCUUAACGAGUUGCUCGGCGAACUUGUAGUACCGGUGAAGAUGCCGGUUACCCGCAGCUAGACGAAAAGACCCCGUGCACCUUUACUAUACUUUUACUGUGGGUUACGGCAAUUGCUGCGCAGGAUAGGUGGGAGGCUUUGAUACCGGGAUUUCGGUUUCGGUGGAGCCAACGGUGAGAUACCACCCUGCGAUUGUUGUGACUCUAACCUCCUUCCCUUAUCGGGAAGAGGGACAUAGUAAGACGGGUAGUUUGACUGGGGCGGUCGCCUCCUAAAUUGUAACGGAGGCGCGCGAAGCUACACUCAGGCUGUUUGGAAAUCAGCCGUCGAGUGCAAAAGCAUAAGUGUGGUUAACUGCGAGACCUACAAGUCGAGCAGAUUCGAAAGCAGGCUUUAGUGAUCCGGUGGUUCUGUAUGGAAGGGCCAUCGCUCAACGGAUAAAAGGUACGCCGGGGAUAACAGGCUGAUCAUUGCCAAGAGUUCAUAUCGACGCAAUGGUUUGGCACCUCGAUGUCGGCUCAUCGCAUCCUGGAGCUGUAGAAGGUUCCAAGGGUUAGGCUGUUCGCCUAUUAAAGCGGUACGUGAGCUGGGUUCAGAACGUCGCGAGACAGUUCGGUCUCUAUCUGCUGUGGGCGUAGGAGAUUUGAAGGGGGCUGUCCUUAGUACGAGAGGACCGGGAUGGACGAACCUCUUGUGUUCCAGUUGUCUUGCCAAAGGCACGGCUGGGUAGCGAAGUUCGGUUAUGAUAACCGCUGAAUGCAUAUAAGCGGGAAGCAUGCCCUAAGAUGAGAUCUCCCAACCCAAAAGGGAAAUGAAGGGCCCUAGAAGACCACUAGGUUGAUAGGCUGGAUGUGGAAGCGCAGUAAUGCGUGUAGCUUACCAGUACUAAUCGCCCGUUCGGCUUGAUCAA